ACGGGUGCGUAACGCGUAUGCAACCUGCCCCCAUCAGGGGAAUAGCCCGCCGAAAGGCGGAUUAAUGCCCCAUAGGCCCAGGGCGCCGCAUGGCGCUAUGGGUAAAGCUCCGGCGGAUGGGGAUGGGCAUGCGUGCCAUUAGCUAGUUGGGGCGGUAACGGCGCACCAAGGCGACGAUGGCUAGGGGGUCUGAGAGGAUGGUCCCCCACACUGGUACUGAGACACGGACCAGACUCCUACGGGAGGCAGCAGUGAGGAAUAUUGGUCAAUGGGCGGAAGCCUGAACCAGCCAUGCCGCGUGCAGGAUGACGGCCCUACGGGUUGUAAACUGCUUUUCCCCGGGAAGAAUAAGCCCCUCGUGAGGGGUGAUGCCGGUACCGGGGGAAUAAGGAUCGGCUAACUCCGUGCCAGCCGCUGC
rnacentral:rRNA from 1 species